AGAGUUUGAUCCUGGCUCAGGACGAACGCUGGCGGCGUGCCUAACACAUGCAAGUCGAACGGGACCGCAAGGUUCAGUGGCGGACGGGUGCGUAACACGUGAGGAACAUGGCCAUCGGCGGGGGAUAGCCGGCCCAACGGCCGGGUAAUACCGCGUACGACCUUUGGGUGGCAUCACCUGGGGGUGAAAGCAGCAAUGCGCCGAUGGGGUGCCUCGCGGCCUAUCAGCUAGUUGGUGAGGUAAUGGCUCACCAAGGCUACGACGGGUAGCUGGUCCGAGAGGAUGACCAGCCACAUUGGGACUGAGACACGGCCCAGACUCCUACGGGAGGCAGCAGUGGGGAAUAUUGCGCAAUGGGGGAAACCCUGACGCAGCGACGCCGCGUGUGGGAUGACGGCCUUCGGGUUGUAAACCACUGUCGCGAGGGACGAAGCUCUGACGGUACCUCGAAAGGAAGCACCGGCUAACUCCGUGCCAGCAGCCGCGGUAAUACGGAGGGAGCUAGCGUUGUUCGGAAUUACUGGGCGUAAAGGGCGCGUAGGCGGUGGUGUAAGUCAGAUGUGAAAACCAUCGGCUUAACCGAUUGGAUUGCAUUUGAUACUGCAUCGCUGAGUUCAGUAGAGGAGAGUGGAAUUCCCAGUGUAGCGGUGGAAUGCGUAGAUUGGGAAGAACACCAGUGGCGACGGCUCUCUGGACUGAUACCCUGGUAGUC
rnacentral:rRNA from 1 species